AGUAGUUUAACUCCGUGGCUCAGAACGAACGCUGGCGGCAUGCCUAACACAUGCAAGUCGAACGAAGUCUUCGGACUUAGUGGCGCACGGGUGCGUAACGCGUGGGAAUCUGCCCUUGGGUGCGGAAUAACUUCUCGAAAGGGAUGCUAAUACCGCAUAAUGUCGUAAGACCAAAGAUUUAUCGCCCAAGGAUGAGCCCGCGUAAGAUUAGCUAGUUGGUGGGGUAAAAGCCUACCAAGGCGACGAUCUUUAGCUGGUCUGAGAGGAUGAUCAGCCACACUGGGACUGAGACACGGCCCAGACUCCUACGGGAGGCAGCAGUGGGGAAUAUUGGACAAUGGGCGAAAGCCUGAUCCAGCAAUGCCGCGUGAGUGAUGAAGGCCCUAGGGUUGUAAAGCUCUUUUACCAGGGAUGAUAAUGACAGUACCUGGAGAAUAAGCUCCGGCUAACUCCGUG
rnacentral:rRNA from 1 species